rnacentral:rRNA from 1 species
UUGUCUUUAUGGCGAAUGUGAGAUGCAGUGUAUGGAACAUCUAUAAUCUAAUAUGAGAAAUUAAUGAUUUAAGUCCUUCUUAAAUGAGGCCAUUUACCCAUAGAGGGUGCCAGGCCCGUGUAACAUUAAUGAUUAUUAGAAGAUGAUUUCCAAAGAGUCGUGUUGCUUGAUAGUGCAGCACUAAGUUGGUGGUAAACUCCAUCUAAAACUAAAUAUAACCAUGAGACCGAUAGUAAACAAGUACCGUGAGGGAAAGUUGAAAAGAACUCUGAAUAGAGAGUUAAAUAGUACGUGAAACUGCUUAGAGGUUAAGCCCGAUGAACCUGAAUAUCCCAUAUGAAAAAUACAACAUUAUAUAUUUAUAAUAUUUUUUAUUAAAUAUUAUAAAAGUAGUGUGCAUUUUUUUCAUAUAAAGGACAUUGUAAUCUAUUAACAAUAAAUACAUUAUUUAUCAAAAAAUUAUAAGCUUAAUGUUUAUUUAAAUUAAUUUUGUAUAUUUAUAUACAUUUUUAACAUAAAAUAAAUGCAUAUAAUUUGAUAAAGUGUUGAUAGAUUUAUAAUAUAUAGUGCUUAAAUUCUUAAAGAAUUUUGUUAUAAUAUUAAUAAUUUUUUUAUUAUAUAUUUAUAACAUGCGCUAAUAUGAUUAACAAUGCGAUAGAUUCAGGAUACCUUCGGGACCCGUCUUGAAACACGGACCAAGGAGUCUAACAUAUGUGCAAGUCAUUGGGAUUAAUUUAAUUUUUAAACCCAAAGGCGUAAUUAACUUAAAUUUUUUAUUAUAUUUUAUAUAUAAUAAAAUAAUGGGAUUAGUUUUUAAAUCUAUAUUUACUAUAGUUUAUUAAUUCAAUCCCGGGGCGUUCUAUAUGGUUAUGUUAUAAUAAUAUUUAUAUUAUUUAUAUACCUCUAACUGGAGCGUACCUUGAGCAAAUAUGCUGUGACCCGAAAGAUGGUGAACUAUACUUGAUCAGGUUGAAGUCAGGGGAAACCCUGAUGGAAGACCGAAACAGUUCUGACGUGCAAAUCGAUUGUCAGAAUUGAGUAUAGGGGCGUAAGACUAAUCGAACCAUCUAGUAGCUGGUUCCCUCCGAAGUUUCCCUCAGGAUAGCUGGUGCAUUUAAUAAUUAUGUAAAAUAAUCCUAUCUGGUAAAGCGAAUGAUUAGAGGCCUUAGGGUCGAAACGAUCUUAACCUAUUCUCAAACUUUAAAUGGGUAAGAACCUCACCUUUCUUGAUAUGAAGGUUGAGGUUGUGAUAUAAUGUGCCCAGUGGGCCACUUUUGGUAAGCAGAACUGGCGCUGUGGGAUGAACCAAACGUAAUGUUACGGUGCCCAAAUUAACAACUCAUACAGAUACCAUGAAAGGGGUUGGUUGCUUAAAACAGCAGGACGGUGGACAUGGAAGUCGUAAUCCGCUAAGGAGUGUGUAACAACUCACCUGCCGAAGCAACUAGCCCUUAAAAUGGAUGGCGCUUAAGUUGUAUACCUAUACAUUACCGCUAAAGUAAAUGAUUUAUAUUCAAUUUCGGGGGAAUUUUAAAUUUUGAAACUUUAGUGAGUAGGAGGGUACAAUGGUGUGCACAGAAGUGUUUGGCGAAAGCCUGCAUGGAGCCCCCAUUGGCACAGAUCUUGGUGGUAGUAGCAAAUAAUCGAAUGAGACCUUGGAGGACUGAAGUGGAGAAGGGUUUCGUGUGAACAGUGGUUGAUCACGAGUUAGUCGGUCCUAAGUUCAAGGCGAAAGCCGAAAAUUUUCCAGUUAUAAUUAAAAUAUAAAAAAUAUAUAAUAUAUUUAUAUAUAUAUUUAAACACUGGACUUUUUUUUGAACGAAAGGGAAUACGGUUCCAAUUCCGUAACCUGUUGAGUAUCCGUUUGUUAUUAAAAAUGGGCCUUGUGCUCAUCCUGGUAACAGGAACGACCAUAAAGAAGCCGUCGAGAGAUAUCGGAAGAGUUUUCUUUUCUGUUUUAUAGUCGUACUACCAUGGAAGUCUUUCGAAGAGAGAUAUGGUAGAUGGACUAGAAGAGCAUGACAUUUACUGUUGUGUCGAUAUUUUCUCCUCGGACCUUGAAAAUUUAUGGUGGGGUCACGCAAACUUCUCAACAGGCCGUACCGAUAUCCGCAGCUGGUCUCCAAGGUGAAGAGUCUCUAGUCGAUAGAAUAAUGUAGGUAAGG